rnacentral:rRNA from 1 species
UAGAGUUUGAUCAUGGCUCAGAACGAACGCUGGCGGCAUGGAUUAGGCAUGCAAGUCGAACGAUGAAAGAGAGCUUGCUCUCUGGAUUAGUGGCGAAAGGGUGAGUAACGCGUGAGUAAGCUGCCCUCAAGUUGGGAAUAAUUCUCCGAAAGGAGGACCAAUACCGGAUGUGGUUAUAGUAUCGCAUGAUAUUUUAACUAAAGAUUUAUCGCUUGAGGAUGUGCUCGCGUCCCAUUAUGCUUGUUGGUAGGGUAACGGCCUACCAAGGCUCUGACGGGUAGGUGGUCUGAGAGGAUGGUCACCCACACUGGGACUGAGACACUGCCCAGACUCCUACGGGAGGCUGCAGUCGAGAAUCUUCCGCAAUGGGCGAAAGCCUGACGGAACAAUGCCGCGUGUAGGAUGAAGGCCCUUGGGUCGUAAACUACUGUCACAGGGGAUGAAUAAAUGACAGUACCCUGAGAGGAAGCCACGGCUAACUACGUGCCAGCAGCCGCGGUAAUACGUAGGUGGCGAGCGUUGUUCGGAUUUAUUGGGCGUAAAGGGUUCGUAGGGGGCUUUCUAAGUUUGAUGUGAAAUCCCGAGGCUUAACCUCGGAACUGCAUUGAAAACUGGAGAGCUAGAGUAUCGGAGAGGAAAGCGGAAUUUCUGNAGUAGCGGUGGAAUGCGUAGAUNUCANAAAGAACAUCGAUAGCGAAGGNAGCUUUCUGGANNAUUACUGACCCUGAGGGANNAAAGCGUGGGUAGCGAACAGGAUUAGAUACCCUGGNAGUCCACGCCGUAAACGUUGUU